AGACCAUGAUAAAAAGCAAUAUGAAGCUUUUUUUUUUUUUUUGAGAAAAAAGUAGCUAGCUAUCUGUUUCAUUCAUAAAGCAAGAUGAAUUAAGCAUACAGGAUGAAAGCAACAACGGCCUCCGAAGACAACAAAAGGUGAAAACAAUGAAAAAAAAAAGUACAGAGAUUACAAGCAAGAAAGGGAAGAGAGGAGAGGAGGCGGGAAAGCUAGGAGAGGAGCAAGGUCAAGAGUCAAGACAGUAUACUCCAGUCGUUUAUGAGUCCGUUGAUGCGAUCAAUUAAUCGUACUGCGUUGGGUGGUAAAGUCCGAAAGAUAACGGAAUUUCUAUCAAUCCAUACGACCCAUCAGGGUGCAAUCUGAAGCUUAAACUGACAAAUAU
rnacentral:lncRNA from 1 species